rnacentral:rRNA from 1 species
AGAGUUUGAUCCUGGCUCAGGAUGAACGCUAGCGGCAGGCUUAACACAUGCAAGUCGAGGGGCAGCACGGGUAGCAAUACUUGGUGGCGACCGGCGCACGGGUGAGUAACGCGUAUGCAACCUUCCUUUAACUGGGACAUAGCCCGGCGAAAGUCGGAUUAAUUUCCCAUAACAUUACAUGAAGGCAUCUGAUUGUAAUUAAAGCUCCGGCGGUUAAAGAUGGGCAUGCGUGUCAUUAGCUAGUUGGUAAGGUAACGGCUUACCAAGGCUACGAUGACUAGGGGUUCUGAGAGGAUGAUCCCCCACACUGGUACUGAGACACGGUCCAGACUCCUACGGGAGGCAGCAGUGGGGAAUUUUGCGCAAUGGGCGAAAGCCUGACGCAGCAACGCCGCGUGAGUGAUGAAGGCUUUCGGGUCGUAAAGCUCUGUCGAGGGGAAAGAAGUGUAUUAUGGUUAAUACCCAUGAUACUUGACGGUACCCCUAAAGGAAGCACCGGCUAACUCCGUGCCAGCAGCCGCGGUAAUACGGGGGGUGCAAGCGUUGUUCGGAACUAUUGGGCGUAAAGCGCGUGUAGGCGGUUUGAUUAGUCUGAUGUGAAAGCCCUGGGCUCAACCCAGGAAGUGCAUUGGAAACUGUCAGACUUGAAUACGGGAGAGGGUAGUGGAAUUCCUAGUGUAGGAGUGAAAUCCGUAGAUAUUAGGAGGAACACCGGUGGCGAAGGCGGCUACCUGGACCGAUAUUGACGCUGAGACGCGAAAGCGUGGGUAGCAAACAGGAUUAGAUACCCUGGUAGUCC